AGAGCAGGGCCACCCAGCCAGCCAAGGCGGCGCGGCGCGGCGCGGCGCGGCGCGGCGCGGCGCGGGGGAAGGAGCAGGCUGAGUGGGGGCGCCCCAGGCUGGUCCAAGGCAAGACCCAUAGAAGUACUGGGUGGCAGAGGACGGCAACAGGUCUGAACCCCCUUGCCUAUGUCUCUUGUAUCGUCGGACAGGAAGCAGUGACCCACGUCAGAACCUUUACUGAGAAAGUGCUGAGAAAGGUUUCAAGUGAAACGACCAGGCAGCUGGAAAAGAGGAGUCGUUUAUGAUAUACUUUGCCUUACAGACCUCACAGGAACUGUGAACUAAGAUCAGGACUUUUGACCUCCUGCAUGGAGCAAGCCUUGUGCUGUCUUCCAAUGCAGAGCAGCCUGUGGGAGCGCAGCAAUUCUCUGGGAAAGGAGUUCCAUGCUAGGUAGGAGACUGACUAUGAACACCAGCUGCUGCUUCCUGACACAGCCCUUGAGGGGACCUAUCUUGGAGGCUGGCGUACACUGUGGUUAGAGGCAUUCCUUUCAUCCUUAUUGUCUUUUUUUAUUGUGUGGGAUAUUCUUUUCUUGAGCUCUUUAGCACUGGUACAUAUACGUCAAGGCUUCCUGGACCAUCCUAUAAGCUAUUCCUCUUCAAGCCAACAUAAACAGUUGAGAACUUACAAAACUGGGGAUGGCUCUGAACCAAAGUUCCAGAUGAGUUCCUGUGACUAUCUGAGUGGAUGUUUCUCAUAAUCCAAACCUGGAUCUGGAUUUCAUCGCUGGCCCUUAUCUCUCUAAUGGGUUAAAUCACAACCUCCAGUCCAAAAGCCCCUGAAAUUUAGAAGUGCUUGAAACCAGAAUCUACGAUAAACAGUUUAAAUAUAUGCAUGAAAAGUGGUUUGUGUGAUUAGUAGGUUACAUGUACUUCUUGCAUUCCCUUUAGGACAGGCUCAUUACAAAAUAAUUUGGAGUUGCUUUAGGCAGCUUUACCAUAAUUUUGGAUUGCUUGUGUUGUAACCUUACUUAGUUCAAGUUAAAUAGAAACUCAUGGGUUUCACUAAAAGAGCAGGAAAAAGUGAUAAUUCAAAGGGUCGCAUUCUCUUGUACAAACAUCACUGAACAAAGUUUAUGAAGGAAAAGAAAUGGUUCCAGGUGCUCAGUAGCUCCGAGCUGACAUUUCAUGGUUGAGGAAGAAAGAAUCAAAGGGUAUAAACAUUGUUCAGUUAUCUCUUUCCAUUCUGAUAUAUCUGACAUUUAUAUUUACUUUCUGGAAAAUCAGAAGCAUGGAAGAAAUUAUUGAGAGGUGCCUAACAACCAAGUGUCUCGUGUGUGAUGAAAUGAAAUAAUUAAAUAUUGCUUACUCAUUUUUAAUUAGAUUGCAUCAGGGCUCUACAGUUCAGAUAUCUAUGUUCUCAGAUGGGAAGCACUCAAACAGAGCUUUCUGUCCCAAUUUUCAAUUAAUUUUCUUCAAAAACUAUUUUCAUGAAAUAGUAUAUUGUACCUUCAAGAAAUGAUUUUUGAUAUGCAGAUUACUUGAAAAUAAAGCAAUUGAAAUCACUUAUCAUAGGUAAGCUUUGGAAUGGCUAUCUCUAUUGUGGCUCAAGCCCCAAGCUUAUUAUUAUUUUAAUUGCAUGUAAUAAAAAAAUUGUCAUUAGAGAUGAUUUGGAAAUGAGAAGGGGUGCCCUUUUUUUUGCUGCUUUAUGAUAUAUAAAAAAGCCUGAACUUAAAUUACUGUUCUGGGGAAGGUACUUAAAUCUGCCCAUUAUUUUAGCUUUGUAUUUCAAAUAUAUAAUAUCAGGACUAUAAAAUCUUCCUUGCUUGUAUUCCCUGCUUUUUACUAGAAAACUGGAAAAAAGGAGUUUUUUAAGCCUUUAGUUGAAAGGGUGUGGGUGUGAAUAUUUCACAUGUAGAGUGUUUCUCCGAAAUGUAUAUUAGUAGUCUGAGUUAAAUCAGUGUUAACCAAAAACAGACUUUCAAAAGUCUGAAUAAAAAUCUCUU